GACGAACGCUGGCGGCGUGCUUAACACAUGCCAGUCGAACGAAGAGCGACGGAAGCUUGCUUCUAUCAAUCUUAGUGGCGAACGGGUGAGUAACGCGUAAUCAACCUGCCCUUCAGAGGGGGACAACAGUUGGAAACGACUGCUAAUACCGCAUACGCUCUAACCUCGGCAUCGAGGAUAGAUGAAAGGUGGCCUCUACAUGUAAGCUAUCACUGAAGGAGGGGAUUGCGUCUGAUUAGCUAGUUGGAGUGGUAACGGCCCACCAAGGCGAUGAUCAGUAGCCGGUAUGAGAGGAUGAACGGCCACAUUGGGACUGAGACACGGCCCAGACUCCUACGGGAGGCAGCAGUGGGGAAUCUUCCGCAAUGGACGAAAGUCUGACGGCGCAACGCCGCGUGAGUGAUGACGGCCUUCGGGUUGUAAAGCUCGGUUAAUCGGGACGAAAGGCCUUCUUGCGAAUAGUGAGAAGGAUUGACGGUACCGGAAUAGAAAGCAACGGCUAACUACGUG
rnacentral:rRNA from 1 species